CUUCAACGACCCCAGCAGCAGAGGCCGUUCGGACGACCGGUCGUGGCCGUACGUCGCGAGCAGCGCCUGCGCCUC
rnacentral:antisense_RNA from 1 species